GCAGUCUGAUUCCAUUUCACUCCACAAAUAAAUCUUUCGUCUUUUACUAAAGAUUUCCGUGGAGAGGAACAUUUGAUGAAUCUAUAGACUAUAUUUUUAACCCUGUAAUACAGGGU